rnacentral:rRNA from 1 species
GUACACACCGCCCGUCACACCAUGAGAGCUGGUAACACCCGAAGUCCGUGAGGUAACCGUAAGGAGCCAGCGGCCGAAGGUGGUAUUAGUGAUUGGGGUGAAGUCGUAACAAGGUAGCCGUAGGAGAACCUGCGGCUGGAUCACCUCCUUUCUAAGGAGA